AUUGAACGCUGGCGGCAGGCCUAACACAUGCAAGUCGAGCGAGUGGCGGACGGGUGAGUAAUGUAUGGGAAACUGCCCGAUAGAGGGGGAUAACUACUGGAAACGGUAGCUAAUACCGCAUACUAUCGGAUGAACCCAGAUGGGAUUAGCUAGUAGGUGGGGUAAAGGCUAACCUAGGCGACGCUCCCUAGCUGGUCUAAGAGGAUGACCAUACACACUGGAACUGAGACACGGCCCAGACUCCUACGGGAGGCAGCAGUGGGGAAUAUUGCACAAUGGGCGAAAGCCUGAUGCAGCCAUGCCGCGUGUAUGAAGAAGGCCGUAGGGUUGUAAAGUACUUUCAGCGGGGAGGCGUUACCCGCAGAAGAAGCACCGGCUAACUCCGUGCCAGCAGCCGCGGUAAUGC
rnacentral:rRNA from 1 species